rnacentral:rRNA from 1 species
GACGAACGCUGGCGGCGUGCUUAACACAUGCAAGUCGAACGGAAAGGCCCCUUUGGGGGUACUCGAGUGGCGAACGGGUGAGUAACACGUGAGUAACCUGCCCUUGACUUCGGGAUAACUUCAGGAAACUGGGGCUAAUACCGGAUAGGAAUCCUUGCUGCAUGGUGGGGGUUGGAAAGCUUCGGCGGUUUUGGAUGGACUCGCGGCUUAUCAGCUUGUUGGUGGGGUAGUGGCUUACCAAGGCUUUGACGGGUAGCCGGCCUGAGAGGGCGACCGGCCACAUUGGGACUGAGAUACGGCCCAGACUCCUACGGGAGGCAGCAGUGGGGAAUAUUGCACAAUGGGCGGAAGCCUGAUGCAGCAACGCAGCGUGCGGGAUGACGGCAUUCGGGUUGUAAACCGCUUUCAGCAGGGGCGAAGCUUGUGGUGACGGUACCUGCAGAAGAAGCACCGGCUAACUACGU